UCGCCGGCGCACGGGCGCACCCGACAAGCCGACCGCCCGACCAAAUUGGAACAUCUGGAAGCUUUGUCCCGACCAAAUCGGCUCAGUCGCAUUCGUAAAGCUGCCGUUGUAAGAAGUAAUUACUAU